UGCAAAUGGUUGUUUGUCUCUGUGUGCCCUGCGAUUGGCUGGCAACCGGUUCAAGGUGUCCCCCGCCUACUGCCCGAUGACGGCUGGGAUAGGCUCCAGCACGCCCGCGACCCCAGUGGGGACUAAGCGGUACAGAAAAUGGACGGAUGGAUGGAUAGUUUGACAGUGCAGGCGGUCCAUAAAUAAUACAUUAUGUUACUGCUAUAUUUCGUUUCUUUUCAUUUUCUGUGUAUUUUCAUUAUUAUUACCGUUGAGUGCCACCAGAGGGCGCUAUAGUGUAAGUGAGCUUUGUAAGAAGAAGUAGAGGUUAGUUUCGAAGAAGAAGCGAUCUCUCGAGAGAUCGAAAGAUGCGUGACUGAAGCGUGGUCACAAAGCUAAGUUGUUAAGAAAGUUAAGAAACAAUAAGAAGAAGAAGACGACUGAAACUAAUUCCUCUCUCGGUACUCAGCCAACGAGUUUUCACGGUGUGUUUAUGAGUCUGAACAAGCUGGAUUCAAUAAAUCCAUCAGUUGAGAAA